GGCCCAACAACUCUCUAUAUUCGUCGGUCUCUCUGAGGAUAACAUACAAAUAAGUUAAAACUUUCAACAACGGAUCUCUUGGUUCUGGCAUCGAUGAAGAACGCAGCGAAAUGCGAUAAGUAAUGUGAAUUGCAGAAUUCAGUGAAUCAUCGAAUCUUUGAACGCACAUUGCGCCCGCCAGUAUUCUGGCGGGCAUGCCUGUUCGAGCGUCAUCUCAACCAUCAAGCCCCCGGGCUUGUGUUGGGGCCCUGCGGCUGCCCGCAGGCCCCGAAAAGCAGUGGCGGGCUCGCUGUCACACCGAGCGUAGUAACACAUCUCGCUUUGGACGUGCGGCGGGCUCCUGCCGUAAAACAUCCCCCUUCUCAAGGUUGACCUCGGAUCAGGUAGGAAUACCCGCUGAACUUAAGCAUAUCAAUAAGCGGAGGA
rnacentral:rRNA from 1 species